UGAGAGACUGAAUGAAACGUUGCGUUUGAGUGAAUUGGAGCUGCUGAUUUCAAAAUUUCAAAGGGCGACCAUUUCAUUUUGAAAGCUGCAAUUUUCAUGCUAGGGUUAGGAUUGAGAGAGAACGCAAGAAAGAAAGAAAAAGAGAGAAGUCCAUGGUUGCCACCGGAGGGUGGACGUGAUCGGAGACGUUCUUACCGGCAAAGUCGAAGGCGAAGGAGAAGUUGCUACUGGUCGUGAACGGUGUGCAGCGCGGAAGGGGAAGGUUGUGAGAGAAAGUUGCGGUAGGGAGAAGAGCAAAUGUUGAAUCGGUAACAAGUUUGAUAGCUGUUGAGUGAGAUGCAUUGAGAAAACAAGUUUGGUAGUUAGAGAGUGAACACAAGAGCGAAGAAUGAGAUACAUGAAAUUUGAAGCUAGGGUUGCGGAAAAGGGGAAAUCGAACAAGGUAUG